UACGGGGGGGGCAAGCGUUGUUCGGAAUUACUGGGCGUAAAGGGCUCGUAGGCGGCCAACUAAGUCAGACGUGAAAUCCCUCGGCUUAACCGGGGAACUGCGUCCGAUACUGGAAGGCUUGAAUCCGGGAGAGGGAUGCGGAAUUCCAGGUGUAGCGGUGAAAUGCGUAGAUAUCAUUUGGAACGCCAAUGGUGAAAACAGGUAGCUGGGAGUGUGCUGACGCUGAGACACGAAAGCCAGGGGAGCGAACGGG
rnacentral:rRNA from 1 species